rnacentral:rRNA from 1 species
AGUGAACGCUGGCGGCGUGCCUAAUACAUGCAAGUCGAGCGGAGUGGCGCACGGGGGAGUAAUGUAUAGCUAAUCUGCCCUACACUAGAGGACAACAGUUGGAAAAGACUGCUAAUACUCUAUAGUGUAGGAUGAGGCUAUAUUGUAUCAGCUCGUUGGUGAGGUAUUGGCUCACCAAGGCUAUGACGAGUAACUGGUCUGAGAGGAGGAGCAGUCACACUGGAACUGAGACACGGUCCGGAAUCCUACGGGAAGCAGCAGUAGGGAAUAGUGCGCAAUGGGGGAGUCCCUGAAGGAGCAACGCCGCGUGGAGGAUGACACUUUGCGGAGAGUAAACUCCUGUUGUUAGGGAAGCGGUACCUAACGAAUAAGCACCGGCUAACUCCGUGCCAGCAGCCGCGGUAAUAC